AGCAGCCGCGGUAAUUCCAGCUCCAAUAGCGUAUAUUAAAGUUGUUGCAGUUAAAAAGCUCGUAGUUGAAUUUCGGGGUUAGUAGGUUGGUCAUGCCUCUGGUAUGUACUGGUCUCACUGAUUCCUCCUUCCUGAUGAACCUUAAUGCCAUUUAUUUGGUGUUUUGGGGAAUUUGGACUGUUACUUUGAAAAAUUAGAGUGUUUAAAGCAAGCUAACGCUUGAAUACGUUAGCAUGGAAUAAUGAAAUAGGACGUUCGAUCCUAUUUUGUUGGUUUCUAGGAUUGACGUAAUGAUUAAUAGGGAUAGUUGGGGGCAUUAGUAUUCAAUUGUCAGAGGUGAAAUUCUUGGAUUUAUUGAAGACUAACUACUGCGAAAGCAUUUGCCAAGGAUGUUUUCAUUAAUCAAGAACGAAAGUUAGGGGAUCGAAGACGAUCAGAUACCGUCGUAGUCUUAACCAUAAACUAUGCCGACUAGGGAUCGGAUGAUGUUAAUUUUUUAAUGACUCAUUCGGCGCCUUAC
rnacentral:misc_RNA from 1 species